AGAGUUAGUGAGGUAGUUGCAAGUUAGGGUUUUCCUGUGAACCUAACUUGAGGAAAGUCCGGACUUCCUAAAGAUCAGACUUGCUGGGUAACGCCCAGUGCGUGUGAACGUGAGGAUAGUGCCACAGAAACAUACCGCCUUUUGAUUAAGGUAAGGGUGCAAAGGUGCGGUAAGAGCGCACCAGCAGUAUCGAGAGGUACUGGCUCGGUAAACCCCGGUUGGAAGCAAGGUCGGAGGAAUGAGGGUUGGUCUUUUUCCUAUUCCGUUUCUGGUGUACCGCUUGAGGUGUUUGGUAACAAACAUCCUAGAUAGAUAACUACCCUCUAUGAUAAAUAAUAUUAUAGAGAACAGAAUCCGGCUUAUGUCUAACUCUCUUU
rnacentral:RNase_P_RNA from 1 species